UACAGAGGGUGCGAGCGUUAAUCGGAAUUACUGGGCGUAAAGCGUGCGUAGGCGGUAGCGUAAGUCAGAUGUGAAAGCCCCGGGCUCAACCUGGGAAUUGCAUUUGAUACUCUGGAGCUUGAGUACGGGAGAGGAGAGUGGAAUUCCCAGUGUAGAGGUGAAAUUCGUAGAUAUUGGGAAGAACACCGGUGGCGAAGGCGGCUCUCUGGACCGUAACUGACGCUGAGGAGCGAAAGCGUGGGUAGCAAACAGG
rnacentral:rRNA from 1 species